AUCACUUAACCUGCACAGCUGUCGUGUUUCAUUUCUAUUACCAUAUUCAAUUUCUAACAAUAUUGUCCCCUUAGCUAACUCAUUAGUAUAGUAGUUCCGCUUUCCACCAAGUUCUAGUAAGACAUUUCAGAGUAAAAACGGUUUGUUUUAAGCGUAUUCUGAAUUUUCCCAGAUAUUUCCAUUUAGUUUAGUAAGUACAAAGUUCACCCUUUUAAAGUGCAGAAUUUAGUGAUUUUUAAUAUAUUCACAGAAUUGUGAAUCACUACUAUUUCAUUCCAAAACAUAUUGUUACCCUUAAAAGAAACCCUGUACCAGCCAGGCGCGGUGGCUCACGCCUGUAAUCCCAGCACUUUGGGAGGCCGAGGCAGGAAGAUCAUGAGGUCAGGAGAUCGAGACCAUCCUGGCAAACGUGGUGAAACCCCAUCUCUACUAAAAAUACAAAAAAUUACCUGGGCGUGGUGGCGGGCGCCUGUGAGAGGCUGCGGCAGGAGAAUGGCAUGAACCCAGGAGGUGGAGCUUGCAGUGAGCCGAGAUUGCGCCACUGCACUCCAGCCUGGGCGACGGAGCGAGACUCCGCCUCAAAAAAAAAAAAAAGAAAAAAAAAAGAAACCCUGUACCCAUUAGCAAUUAUUCCCCAUUCUCCCUCUAAUCCACUUUUGGCCCGAAUUUAAUCAUUUGCAUAGAUCUCUGCAAUUUUAUAAUUUCCACAUACCACUUAAUACUAUUACUUACUUUAUAAUUUUAUUUAAAUAAACUUGUCUUUGCUUUUACAGUGACAUUCAUGACAUCUCAAGGGUUAUAUUCUAUUUUUUUAAUGUACAUCAUAAUGGACAUAUAAUUAUCAAAAUAAUAUGUUCAGUAGUAAAUUAAUGUUCAUUUUAGCAGUAAAACUGGAACAUACAAUGCAUAAGUUAGAAAAUUAAGGCUAGAGGCCGAGCACUGUUGCUUGUUCCUGUAAUCCCAGCACUCUGGGAGCCAAAGUGGGAGGAUCACCUGAGGCUAGCAGUUUGAGACCAGCCUGGCCAACAUGGCAAAACCCCGUCUCUACUAAAAAUAAAAAAAUUAGCCAGUUGUGGUGGUGCACACCUGUAAUCCUAGCUACUUGUGGGGCUAAGGCAGGAGAAUCGCUUGAACCAGGAGGUGGAGGUUGCAGUGAGCCGAGAUCACACCACUGCACUCCAUCCAGCCUGGGCAACAGAGUGAGACCCUGUCUCAAAAAAAAUAAAAAUAAAAAUUGUGUGUGUGUGUGGCGU
rnacentral:lncRNA from 1 species